rnacentral:tRNA from 1 species
GCCGGGGUGGCGGAACUGGCAGACGCACAGGACUUAAAAUCCUGCGGUGAGUGAUCACCGUUCCGGUUCGAUUCCGGUCCUCGGCACCA